UACGAAGGGGGCUAGCGUUGCUCGGAAUUACUGGGCGUAAAGCGCACGUAGGCGGCUUUCUAAGUCGGGGGUGAAAUCCUGGAGCUCAACUCCAGAACUGCCUUCGAUACUGGAAAGCUCGAGUCCGGGAGAGGUGAGUGGAACUGCGAGUGUAGAGGUGAAAUUCGUAGAUAUCUGGAGGAACACCGGUGGCGAAGGCGGCAUCCUGGACCGGUAUUGACGCUGAGGCGCGAAAGCCAGGGGAGCAAACGGG
rnacentral:rRNA from 1 species